rnacentral:rRNA from 1 species
AUACGGAGGGUCCAAGCGUUAUCCGGAAUCAUUGGGUUUAAAGGGUCCGCAGGCGGUCAAUUAAGUCAGAGGUGAAAGCCCAUCGCUCAACGAUGGAACUGCCUUUGAUACUGGUUGACUUGAGUUAUACGGAAGUAGAUAGAAUAAGUAGUGUAGCGGUGAAAUGCAUAGAUAUUACUUAGAAUACCGAUUGCGAAGGCAGUCUACUACGUAUAUACUGACGCUGAGGGACGAAAGCGUGGGGAGCGAGCAGGAUUAGAAACCCUAGUAGUCC